AGCAGCCGCCGCGGGAAUACGAAGGGUGCAAGCGUUAAUCGGAAUUACUGGGCGUAAAGCGUGCGUAGGCGGUUUGUUAAGUCUGUUGUGAAAUCCCCGGGCUCAACCUGGGAAUGGCAAUGGAUACUGGCAAGCUAGAGUGUGUCAGAGGAUGGUGGAAUUCCCGGUGUAGCGGUGAAAUGCGUAGAGAUCGGGAGGAACAUCAGUGGCGAAGGCGGCCAUCUGGGACAACACUGACGCUGAGGCACGAAAGCGUGGGGAGCAAACAGGAUUAGAUACCCCAGUAGUCCCUGUCUCUUAUAA
rnacentral:rRNA from 1 species